GAUGAACGCUGGCGGCGUGCUUAACACAUGCAAGUCGAACGGAAAGGCCCAAGCUUGCUUGGGUACUCGAGUGGCGAACGGGUGAGUAACACGUGGGUGAUCUGCCCUGCACUUCGGGAUAAGCCUGGGAAACUGGGUCUAAUACCGGAUAGGACCACAUUUUGGAUGGUGUGGUGGAAAGUUUUUCGGUGUGGGAUGAGCUCGCGGCCUAUCAGCUUGUUGGUGGGGUAAUGGCCUACCAAGGCGUCGACGGGUAGCCGGCCUGAGAGGGUGUACGGCCACAAUUGGAAUGAGAUACGGCCCAGACUCCUACGGGAGGGAGGAGUGGGGAAUAAUGCAAAAUGGGGGCAAGCCUGAUGCAGCGAAGGCGGGGGGGGGAUGAAGGACUUCGGGUUGUAAACUCCGUUCGGUAGGGACGAAGCGUUAUGGGAAGGUAACUGGAGAAGAAGCAACGGCUAACUACGUG
rnacentral:rRNA from 1 species